CACUCCUGCGGGAGGCAGCAGUGGGGAAUAUUGGACAAUGGGCGCAAGCCUGAUCCAGCCAUGCCGCGUGAGUGAUGAAGGCCCUAGGGUUGUAAAGCUCUUUCACCGGUGAAGAUAAUGACGGUAACCGGAGAAGAAGCCCCGGCUAACUUCGUGCCAGCAGCCGCGGUAAUACGAAGGGGGCUAGCGUUGUUCGGAUUUACUGGGCGUAAAGCGCACGUAGGCGGACUAUUAAGUCAGGGGUGAAAUCCCGGGGCUCAACCCCGGAACUGCCUUUGAUACUGGUAGUCUUGAGUUCGAGAGAGGUGAGUGGAAUUCCGAGUGUAGAGGUGAAAUUCGUAGAUAUUCGGAGGAACACCAGUGUCGAAGGCGGCUCACUGGCUCGAUACUGACGCUGAGGUGCGAAAGCGUGGGGAGCAAACAGGAUUAGAUACCCGUGUAGUCCCA
rnacentral:rRNA from 1 species